AAAGGUGUUAGGUCCGGUGGGGAGUUGAAGGGCCCGGAGAAGCCCCUGAGGACCGUUCAACAAAAACCAUACCAGGGCAGACAAUUCACAUCUGCUGCGAUGAGACCACAAAACCCAUCGUGAAAAUUAGUAUCAACAUGGACGGAGCUGCAGAGGAGUGGAGCACUGAGGGAGGACCAGCGAGAAGACAAAGUACAAUCCGCCUGACAAACAGUGUCUGGACCAGGCAAGGGGAUGUGCACAGAGAUGCAGGACCAAAACAAAACAAACGGGUCUGAGGGAACAUGUCUGUCGAUCCAGGGUUCAGGCGCAGCCACACAGGGCUCAAGCAGGACUCCUAUCUAGAUGGAGAAAGAGCCGCAUUCCCCUGAAAUGAGCUUCUCUGGGAUGAAAGCCUUGUGUGAGCUCCCCAGAUGACCCACGACCCCGUCUGUAUUUGUGCAGGGGGGAGCCCUGAUCCUGGGUUCUCUGCCUCCCUGCCAGGAUCCUGGGGAGUCGGGUUGGGGUGGCCAGACAAGCCCACCAUUCUGCCCUUGGGUGUUUUGCUUUUGGGGUAAAGAGAGACCCUCAGAUGAGCCGGCACUGUCACAGCAGUAACCUUUCACCCCAGGAGUUUCAGAGGUGGGCCAUAGGAGGCCGUUCCUGGAGCGCUGUGCUAUCCCAUGUCAGAGUUUGCAACAUACUAAUAUUUCAAUAAAUAUUGAGAUCUA